ensembl:lncRNA
AUUGUGGUGUGAGGAUAUGUGCCAACACUCUCAAAGACCCAUUUUCCACUCUGAAAAGUUCGGCUUCCAAAAAAAAAAAAAAAAAAAAAAAAAAAAAAAAAAAAAAAGUGAGUGGGAGAGAGAAAACUGCUCGGUUUCUUGCUCAGCUGGGCCUUAUACCGGAAGCAAAAGAGCCCUAAUGCACGGCCUGCUGCCCGGUAAACAUUUUUUGGGACAAAGUGAAGUCAGCUCUUCUCAGUCCAGGCAAACGGGACGCAGAGUCGUAUAAUCCAAGCGGUCUGCCUCCCGACUUCUUCAUGCAAGGUGUUUAUGUGCGGCUUUCAACUCGUGAUAGUUCCAUGAAACUCGAAGCUGCGCGCGCCUGGCUGCACUCUCAGUCCCGGUGCCGUCACGUCCCCGCACCGAGUCUCCGCGCUACGUGCCACCGAGACGCUGCACCGUCAGAGCUCGAGUGUCGGAGCAGAAGCCUGACCGCGCACCGACAGUAAGUAGCCUGCCCUGCGCCCUCAGCUCACGCGCUCACCAAAUCAGCUGUUGCUCCUCCAGACUGGACGCCGCGCGCUCUCUCUCCUUGCAUGCUCCGGCGUCGCCGAUCACGUAAAAGUGCAGUCCGCUUCUCGGUUCUUCUCCACCUGUCCUCCACCCCCCUCUCAGUGUCGGCACAAAGUUGCUGGGAGGACCGCGUCUGAAACAAAACUCAGCAUGUGGCAGCGCGAGUGUCGCAACAUCCGCGAGCGGGACCUCAGCGGACGGUCUGUGAUCUGAAACCCAAAAACAAAGAGUGAGCGGCCUGCUAGAGAAAUCAAGUCUUCAUCAUGAGAGACAAAUACAUGAACUUAAGGCCUCCGUGGGAGUGGAAUCAUUUCAGAGUGUAAUCAGUUCCAAGCUGCUUUGUCUUUUACUUAUUUUUUCUUUGCUCUGUCGACGUUAUACAAAACGUUUCUUUAAAAUUGAGUCAAACUGCAGCUUUUUAAUGAUACCAAUGCAUAAACUGGCACCCUAGAAAAGUACAGGAAGAGAGAAAAAGGCACGAGUCUCGUGUUUGUAAAGGGACGAGCUUUGAAACAGAACAGAAUGGGUUCAAGCUUCACCUGACCAAAAAUCAAAACUCCAAAAAACAAACAAACAAACAAAAGAAAUAAAUAAAUCAAAAGUCACGCCACUCUGAUAUGACACUGUCUCAUUCAUUCGGCUCACGUCACGCUCCUCUUGACUUCUUACUUGACCUUGAAAUAUUGGAUUUCGAGCAAUGUGUUUAAUAAUCUCACUUGAACUUCUGGCCUGUAGGGCCAGAGGAAAUCAUUGUUAUUUAUUUAUUUAUUUCUUUUUAAUCCAUCCUUUCAGAGGUGUUGGAUGCUGGGCCGCGUGGGAGCUUUUUAAAAAAUGAGAACAAAACAUUUUCGAAAUGUAAACCAAAC